rnacentral:rRNA from 1 species
AUUGAACGCUGGCGGAAUGCUUUACACAUGCAAGUCGAACGGCAGCACGGACUUCGGUCUGGUGGCGAGUGGCGAACGGGUGAGUAAUGUAUCGGAACGUGCCCAGUCGUGGGGGAGAACGUAGUUAAAAUAACGCUAAUACCGCAUACGAUCUAUGGAUGAAAGCGGGGGAUCGCAAGACCUCGCGCGAUUGGAACGGCCGAUAUGAGAUUAGGUAGUUGGUGGGGUAAAGGCCCACCAAGCCAACGAUCUGUAGCGGGUCUGAGAGGACGACCAGCCACACUGGAACUGAGACACGGUCCAGACUCCUACGGGAGGCAGCAGUGGGGAAUUUUGGACAAUGGGCGAAAGCCUGAUCCAGCCAUUCCGCGUGCAGGAUGAAGGCCCUCGGGUUGUAAACUGCUUUUGUACAGAACGAAAAGGUUUCUACUAAUACUAGGAGCUCAUGACGGUACUGUAAGAAUAAGCACCGGCUAACUACGUGCCAGCCGCCGCGGUAA